rnacentral:snoRNA from 1 species
UCCAAUGAUGGCAUGGAAUCUUUGAGACCUGAUUAAUAGUAAUUUGAUGAAAAUUACAAGCAUAAUUUCUGAGGAU